UACGUAGGGAGCAAGCGUUGUCCGGAAUCAUUGGGCGUAAAGCGCGCGUAGGUGGCCUCGUAAGUCCGCUGUGAAAGUCAAAGGCUCAACCUUUGAAAGCCGGUGGAUACUGUGAGGCUAGAGUACGGAAGAGGCGAGUGGAAUUCCUGGUGUAGCGGUGGAAUGCGCAGAUAUCAGGAGGAACACCGAUGGCGAAGGCAGGUCUCUGGGCCACUACUGACGCUGAGAAGCGAAAGCAUGGGGAGCGAACAGG
rnacentral:rRNA from 1 species